UACGUAGGGGCCGAGCGUUGUCCGGAGUUACUGGGCGUAAAGCGCGCGCAGGCGGUUUCCUAAGCCCGCCGUGAAAGCCCCCGGCUCAACCGGGGAGGGUCGGCGGGGACUGGGGGACUUGAGGACGGCAGGGGCCGGUGGAAUCCCCGGUGUAGUGGUGAAAUGCGCAGAUAUCAGGAGGAACACCGGUGGCGAAGGCGGGUCUCUGGGCCGAUACUGACGCUGAGGAGCGAAAGCGUGGGGAGCGAACAGG
rnacentral:rRNA from 1 species